rfam:Paenibacillus ferrarius strain CY1 CY1_scaffold54, whole genome shotgun sequence.
UAUUUGGCUACCUCAAACCAAAUAGGCUAGGAUGGCAUGCGUCAGAUACGAGCAUAUCUGGGGUGUGAAGCCCAUCUAACAAUGUACCUGUGAGGGAAAUCCAUCUUCCCAAGACGCAGGGCUAGCCUCAAUGACCUGCUAUGG